rnacentral:lncRNA from 1 species
GAACUUGAAAUCCUCCUGCCUCAGCCUCUGGAGUUUGGUAUUACAGGCAUGUGCCACCACACUCAGAGAGAAGAUGUAAUUGCAUACUUCAGAGAGAUCCCACCAGAUGAGGGAGGAGGCUGAGUCAGACAACAAACCACUUUACUGGACCCUCUCCUAUGCUGUGAGUUCUUCUUG